rnacentral:miRNA from 1 species
UGAUCCAAAGCCCAUUGAAGUCA